CGUAGGUGGCAAGCGUUGUCCGGAUUUAUUGGGUUUAAAGGGUGCGUAGGCGGUCUUAUAAGUCAGUGCUGAAAUAUCCCGGCUUAACCGGGAGGGUGGCAUUGAUACUGUAGGACUUGAGUAAAGUUGAGGUUGGCGGAAUUGACGGUGUAGCGGUGAAAUGCUUAGAUAUCGUCAAGAACACCGAUAGUGUAGACAGCUAACUAAGCUUUAACUGACGCCGAGGCACGAAAGUGUGGGGAUCAAACAGGAUUAGAUACCCUGGUAGUCCACACUGUAAACGUUGAAGACUCGCUGUUGGCGAUACACAGUCAGCGGCUGAGAGAAAUCGUUAAGUCUUCCACCUGGGGAGUACGCCGGCAACGGUG
rnacentral:rRNA from 1 species